rnacentral:rRNA from 1 species
CCCGCUCAGAAACUCAAAGGAAUUGACAGGGCCCGCACAAGCGGAGGAGCAUGUGGUUUAAUUCGAUGAUACGCGAGGAACCUUACCUGGGCUCGAACGUAAGAUGACUGUAGGUGAAAGCUUACAUCUCUUCGGAGCAUUUUACGAGGUGCUGCAUGGUUGUCGUCAGCUCGUGCCGUGAGGUGUCGGGUUAAGUCCCAUAACGAGCGCAACCCCUACCUUUAGUUGCCAUCAGGUUAAGCUGGGGACUCUAAAGGAACUGCCUACGCAAGUAGUGAGGAAGGCGGGGAUGACGUCAAAUCAGCACGGCCCUUACGUCCAGGGCUACACACGUGCUACAAUGGCCGAUACAGAGGGCAGCUACCUGGUGACAGGAUGCAAAUCUCCAAAGUCGGUCUCAGUUCGGAUCGGAGUCUGCAACCCGACUCCGUGAAGUUGGAUUCGCUAGUAAUCGCGCAUCAGCCAUGGCGCGGUGAAUACGUUCCCGGGCCUU